AAAACCAGUUGCUGCCUAAGAGUAAUUGUCACUGACGAAAGCUUGAAAUAACCUGUAUUCACAGGAGGGUAUUCGCAUUGCUCCAUGUCAUAAUUGGGACCUCAUGCAACAAUUUAACAAGGAACAAGGCAGCCCACAAAUGCAGAAAAUGUGAUUCAUGAAACAUAACUAGCAGGCUGUUCUCCAUAUUGUCGCAUUAUUUGAUCAUGGGUAAACUUCAUAAAUGCAUCAUAUUGUUCUGCAAGUUUUGUGUUCAGUAUUUCUUCAUACUCUUCUCGAACUUUCUCUUCACGUUCUUUCCACAAACGUUCACAGAUCAUCCCAACCUGCCAUAGGGUGAAUAAGGGCUGUUCUUUUUUUAAAGGUGAGGAUGUUGCAGAUGAAGUCCCUGGCGAAGCUGGUCCACUGAGGAGAAAUGCAUGUGGCUGUGCAUCAGAAGUACAACAUGGAUCCUUCUGUUGAAAGCUAGUUUCUAAAUGUCUUCUCUUCUGCAUGCGUUUAUACUCUUGUUUUAUGUUGUACAGAAUUUGUUCUGUGGUGAGGCAGGACGAGACGUCGCCGAAGGGGGACAGCUCCAUUCGAAGGUACUUCUGUGCCGAGGUGGAUGCUGACCACGGCUCACAUCGCCGCCGCUUCGGGGACACCGGGCUCAGCAGCGGGUCGAAAUCCAGAGUCCUUUUCAGAGAGGCCCUGCGCGCCAUGGCCGGACCCGCCGAAGUGCAGGG